UGCGGUGUCGUCUAACAGCAGGACCACGGACUUUGAAUCCGGAAAUGGAAGUGCGAGUCUUCCCGCCGCAGCCA
rnacentral:tRNA from 1 species